rnacentral:rRNA from 1 species
AGUCGUAACAAGGUUUCCGUAGGUGAACCUGCGGAAGGAUCAUUAAUGAAAUGCAAGGACGCUCUUUUUAGAGGUCCGACCCAAUUCAUUUUCUCACACUGUGCACACUACUAUUUUUACACCCAUUUUUAACACUUAAAGUAUAAGAAUGUAAACAGUCUCUUAAUUGAGCAUAAAAUUAAAACAAAACUUUCAGCAACGGAUCUCUUGGCUCUCCCAUCGAUGAAGAACGCAGCGAAAUGCGAUACGUAAUGUGAAUUGCAGAAUUCAGUGAAUCAUCGAAUCUUUGAACGCACCUUGCACUCUUUGGUAUUCCGAAGAGUAUGUCUGUUUGAGUGUCAUGAAACUCUCAACCCCCUUGUUUUGUAAUGAAACGAGCGUGGGCUUGGAUUAUGGCUGCUGCCAGCGUAACUGUCGACUCGGCUGAAAUACACGAGCUACCCAUUUCUAAGAAAUAGACGGUUUGACUCGGCGUAAUAACAUAUUUCGCUGAGGACGUCACAUUCUUAAUAUUAGUGGUGCUUCUAAUGCGACAUCUAAAUUUAAGCUUUAGACCUCAAAUCAGUCAGGACUACCCGCUGAACUUAAGCAUAUCAAUAAAGUCG